ensembl:lncRNA
AAAGCGUAGAUCCACUUACUUUCCCCCCACGGAAUUGGAAAUUCUAAUGAACGUGUAUACCGAGCAGUUACCCAUUUUAAAAAAAAAAAGCAAUACCGCCGCGGCAGCGAGAGCGCGAGAGAGAGCUUGGCAGGAAAUAGCUGAACAAGUCAAUGCCAAAUCGAAAAAAUGCAGAGGCCCGGCAGACUGGAGGGGGUCCACCACCGCUGCAGCCCUCACAGAGGCUGAGGAGAUGGCCCUCAGCCAACAGAGUAUGCGCCUGUGGCUGAGGGCAUCCCUGGGGGGAGCUCCUCUGAUCCCCCCACCCCCCAGGAUAGAAGUGCCUUUACAGUAUAAGAGUUACUGAUGGCGUCAUCGCCCUACUUGAACCAGAUGCCCUCACCAACCUCCAUGCAAUUGUAACAAUUCAAAAGAUGCAAAAGGAUGCUUUGGAGAUCCAAAUUUUGGAACAUAAGUUAUAGGUGGGUGAGGUGCAAACUGGGAUAGGCUACUGUUCCCUGCUCUAAAAACAUACCCAAUAUAAAUGACUUCUUUUUUUUUGUGCUUUCAGGAAAUUUUGUUGAACAGUUUACUCAAAG